UACGGGGGGAGCAAGCGUUGUUCGGAUUUACUGGGCGUAAAGGGCGCGUAGGCGGUCAGCACAAGUCAGUUGUGAAAUCUCCGGGCUUAACUCGGAAAGGUCAACUGAUACUGUGCGACUAGAGUGCAGAAGGGGCAACUGGAAUUCUCGGUGUAGCGGUGAAAUGCGUAGAUAUCGAGAGGAACACCUGCGGCGAAGGCGGGUUGCUGGGCUGACACUGACGCUGAUGCGCGAAAGCUAGGGGGAGCAAACGGG
rnacentral:rRNA from 1 species